rnacentral:pre_miRNA from 1 species
AUACUACUCCCUCCGUUCCAUAUUAGUUGUCGCUGAAACAGAUGUAUCUAGACGUAUUUUAGUGCUAGAUACAUCCGUUUGAGCGACAAUUAAUAUGGAACGGAGGGUUGGACAAU